GGUAGUAGCAAGUAUUCAAAUGAGAACUUUGAAGACUGAAGUGGAGAAAGGUUCCAUGUGAACAGCAAUUGGACAUGGGUUAGUCGAUCCUAAGAGAUGGGGAAAUCCUGUGUGAAGGGCGCAAUGCGCGCCGCCCAUCGAAAGGGAAUCGGGUUAAUAUUCCCGAACCGGGACAAGGCAGUGGGCGGUAACGCCGACGAAUCCAGAGACACUGGCGGGGGCCCCGGGAAGAGUUAUCUUUUCUUUUUAACGGCCUGCCGACCCUGAAAUCGGUUCAACCGGAGAUAGGGUCUCACGGCCGGCAGAGCACCGCACGUCCUGCGGUGUCCGGUGCGCCCCCGGCGGUCCUUGAAAAUCUGGAGGAGCGAGUGCUGAGCUUGCCCGGUCGUACUCAUAACCGCAUCAGGUCUCCAAGGUGAGCAGCCUCUAGUC
rnacentral:rRNA from 1 species